rnacentral:lncRNA from 1 species
UUUUUCCCAGACUCGGGAUCACCAACAUCAAUAUUAAGAGCCGCAUAAUUUUCCCCAACCAUUUUUAUGUUGUUUGUUGGAAACCUGGGGAAGGAAGAAUAUAAGAAUGUAAAACCUUAAAAGAGUUGAGAAAGAAAAGCAGCUCUUAAUUCCCAUAUGUGAAAUUUAACAAGAGAAAUGAAAUGAGAUCAUGGAUUUUAGCUUAAUACAAUUUGAUCUAACUUUUAUAUCACUGAAUAAGAUGUUAUCAAAGUCCAGCCAAACAGAAAACUGUUAUUCUUCCCAAACAUACUAAGCCACAAUAUUUUAGAUGCAAAAUAGCCUGGAAUUCAAAGUUCUUACUUAUCUUUCCUCUCUUACACGUAAUUAUAAGAUCAACGGAUUAAUAGGAUUAAGGGUUCGAGUGCAACCAUACUUCCUUGAUAUAAGGGAAAACUGCGAGAAAAUUAAAAUUCAAGAACAAUUAAUUCUCUAAUAUGAAGAAUACUAGUUUAAAGCCUUUGAGUAAAUUCAUGCUUCAAACAAUAGUUGACAGACCUCACACUCCUCCUUCGCCUAUCCAAUUAGAACUCAGAAUUGAGAUCUUUUAAUCAUUUCAAAGCCAUGUAUUAUGUUUCACAGAACCAUCAGGCCAUGCUGAAUUUUCUACUAUGUCCUUGACUAUGGUAGGAAUCUUUCCAAUUAUUGUCGACUGGCUAGGAGCAGGUUCAUCACUCUCAGUGCCAUGACCUAAAAACUUGCUCAAAAAUAAAUAAAUAGUUGUGUGAAAAAUUAUAUAGUUUAUCAAUUGAAGGAGCCACAAUAGUUGAAAUGAAAAAUGAACCCUGCAACCCAGUAAAUUAUCCAGUAGAGAAUGAUCACAAAAGGAAGCAUCAUCAACUUCUCUAUUUAUACUUAUCAAGUAUGUGUACGAGGCUUCGUUAAAAAUUUGCAGAAACUCAAAUCAAUAGACUUCUCAAACACUGAUUGAGGGACAUCAUAAUAUAAUUGCAUUCAAAUGUACACAAUUAAAAAAAUUCACUGUCAAUGAAAUUUGUAUUCAGAUGCUCUAAAAUCACAAACUCAACCUAAUGAAUGUUAAAAUAAGAAUCACUUCCUGCAAUUUAAUUUUCAAAACUAAAAGCAAUUAUAUUAUGUACAUUUGAAUGCAAUUAUACAACCCAACCACAUAGAAGAGCAUUCUGCCAUUCUUAGGGAUGGGAUAUUCAUCUCUCUAUGAAUUUAAUGGAAGUAGUAAGCCCAACAUUCGAUAUUCUGAACCUGUAAGACUUGCCUGGCCAACAUAAUAUGAUUCAAUGAAAUGACAAGAAUAAUAUAUAGGGUACUUGUAGAAUGUGGUAUUGAUAGCUACUAUAAUAACUGGUUGAGAUAUUUAUUUACCUUGAUCAAAUGUGAAUGUGAAUCCAUUUGAUCAUGUCCACCAUCUAAAAUUGCUUUUAAAUCCUACAAAAUUUUUUAAGAAGUUUCAAUUAGGAACUAGGAAUAGGGUCUUUUUUGGAUACACUUACUCGACACAGGACUUAAGUGUGAUUUAGUUUGAACCAGUCGCCAGCGAGUAUGGUGAAAUCUCUAGCAGGUGGAGGGAAAGGAACGGGAAUCAUAGGGCUUCUUGGGGUAGCCUUAAACAGAAC